UACGUAGGCAGCAAGCGUUGUUCGGAGUUACUGGGCGUAAAGGGUGUGUAGGCGGUUCUUUAAGUUUGGUGUGAAAUCUCCCGGCUCAACUGGGAGGGUGCGCCGAAUACUGAGGGACUAGAGUACGGGAGAGGAAAGUGGAAUUCCUGGUGUAGCGGUGAAAUGCGUAGAUAUCGGAAGGAACACCAGUGGCGAAAGCGGCUUCCUGGUCCAGCACCGACGUUCAGGCACGAAAGCGUGGGGAGCAAACAGG
rnacentral:rRNA from 1 species